AAGACCAUUUAGUUUUUACUGAUUCUUUAGAGUUAAUAUUGACUUAAUUGUCUGGGUCUAGUGAACACCAUUCAUUGAUUCUUAUAUUGCUGAGUGUUACUUGAUGAGCUAGUUCGAAGUGCAACACUGCGCAGUGCGCACUGCCUAGAGAUUCUUUUAAAACUAGUUAUCUCCUACUGAGUGUUGACAUUAUCAAAUGAUAACUUUGGUUUAACAAUUUGCAGGGAGUGGUCCUUAAGAUAUUAGCUGCUAUCGGUAUCAUUCGAUCUCAUCAUUUCUGGUUGGAUGUGGAGCAUAUUAACGAAGCUAUUCAGAAUGUUUUGAUAUGUCUUGAGAUGGUUGUCUUCUCUGUUCUUCAGCAAUAUGCAUAUCAUGUUGCACCUUACAGUGGAGACGUUGAAACAAAGAUGAGAGUAAACAAGAAGAACGAAUGAUUUGAAGAAUGACAUCAUUUUAUAUAUCUUCUUUAACCUCUGAAGUGAUAUUAAGGCCCUAGGUCUGAGACUGGAACUUCGAAACGAGUCGAUCCACAUUUAUGUAUUCUUUUCUUCCUUCCUGCAAUUUUCCAUAAUAGUGGAAAGCAUUUCGUUCAACAAAUCACGUGCUAGAACCAAAUGAUGAAAACCUGCAUUUCGUAUAGGGUUUGAGUCACUUGCGAUACCUUUGUAGACGGCUGAUGAGAGAAAUGCAUCUGCAGCCAUGGCUAAUUUGUCAUGAUCCUCUGCAGUCUAAAAGUGAGAGACCGCGAUCAUCAAUGGCAACAUCUUGUGAGAAGAUUAAACCCUCAAGUAUAUAGUGUUUUCAAACUUCUUACCACCAAGUAUAUGUCACCAUACUCGAUCGUACAGAAUACUAUAUUCUUAACUUGUUAUCUAUGUAUUCUUACCAAAACCAUAAAACUUGGUGACGAGGAAAAGCUAUCUUGGGUAGAUUCCUAUAUAUUAUAUAUACAUGGCUAGCCCGCCCCAAAAUCCAAAAAAAUCUAAAAAUCAUAGCCAGCCCUAAACCUCAUAGUCUUGUAGUAGAAAACAUGGGUGAUGAUGGUGCCUCCUACAAAUCGAUUGUGCCCAUCACUGCAGCUGUAAUGGCAGCUGGGUCAGCUGGGUUUCUGUUCUAUCAUCUCUCUGCUAAGCGUCUGGACGAAAGGGCUUAUAGAAAAGAGCAGCUCUCGAUUCAGCGUGACAUACUUGCUUGUGUUUCUGCAGCUAUCAAGCAUGUCACCAUUGGGCCCCAGGGUGAAAGUGCGGGUAAGAAGAAGUGGUGAGGUUAACUAGCAUAUCUAUCGAAAGUUAGACCUUGCAUUUGCAUUACUAAUUAAAAGCUUCUGAAAUUUGCAACAAGAACGUUUGCUUAUUUAUGAUUUGAUGUAUGUGACUUAUGCAUAUGGUUUCUCUAUACAUAUGGCUGCAAUGGAGAUAACCAGUCAGUGAAUAAAACCGAGUUCAAACUUUCUCUUAAAUUUUAAAAC